CCUUGCUUCACUCAGGUUCUAAAAUUAAAUUUAAAAAAACUUUUUUUUUUGUUUUUACAAAAUCCAAGAUAGCUAUUUAAAUAUUAUAUAUUUAGAAAACAAAAUGUUGGUGUUAAAAAUAUUAACUAAUGAUCAGGGCUCAGAUUUUAUAGCACUUGCUAAUUAAUAUAGGAUACAAAUAAAAAUAGCAGAGUGAACUUAACAUAUUUUGUUUUAAACACCUGAGACUCCAAAUAAAAAAUUGUAUACUGUUAUUUUUUGUAUAUUUGAAGUAUUUUAGAUUUAAAAAAUUUUAUUCCGUUCACCAAGUACAAAACAAAAUCAUCAAAAGCCAAGUAACUGUCCUACAAGCUAUGCCUGGGCAAAACAAAAAAUGAAAAAAUAAAUAUAAAAAAAUUGUCAAGUGUUUCACUUACUGAAAAUGAAUGAAUGUUAUAGAUUUUAAAAUUUAAGUAAAUUGAAAUCUUCUGUAAAUACAAUACAAUAAUAUUAUUGUAACCUUGAGUGGCUAAGUAAAUCAACUUGUACCAUGUGAUCCAUUUAAGUGGGUACAUUCAUUAUCUCAGAAAGUAAUACAUUUUUCAAUAAUUUGUUUCCUAGAAAAUUUAAGAAACAUGCUACUCAACAAUUGUAUAUUUAUGUUAUUUGUUGUCACCCUUAGAUUCAGGAAUAAAACCACUACCUACUUUUGAUUUUCAAAUGGCAACCUAUAUUAGAAACUCCAUUAAUAGACGGUGUAUUAGUUAAAAAAAAUUGAUUUCUGUCAAGCUGUUGAUGAGAUAUCCCAAUUUUCAGUUGGAUUGGAGGAGAGUAGUGGUGCAUUGUAGUGUACACGCCAAGCACCGCACCACCACACAAAUAAUACUUCACUACUCUCCUCCAACCCAAACUUAAAAGUGGAAUAUCAAUCAAUAGAUCGACAGAAAUUAAAAAUUUCAACACUAAAAUUUAUUUUAACUAAUACUC